ACCAGACUCCUACGGGAGGCAGCAGUGGGGAAUAUUGCACAAUGGGGGGAACCCUGGUGCAGCGACGCCGCGUGGGUGAAGGAGUACUUCGGUACGUAAAGCCCUAUCAGCAGGAAAGAAAAUGACGGUACCUGACUAAGAAGCCCCGGCUAACUACGUGCCAGCAGCCGCGGUAAUACGUAGGUGGCAAGCGUUGUCCGGAUUUACUGGGUGUAAAGGGCGUGUAGCCGGGUUGACAAGUCAGAUGUGAAAUCCUGCGGCUUAACCGCAGAACUGCAUUUGAAACUGUUGAUCUUGAGUACUGGAGAGGCAGACGGAAUUCCUAGUGUAGCGGUGAAAUGCGUAGAUAUUAGGAGGAACACCAGUGGCGAAGGCGGCCUGCUGGACUGCAACUGACGUUGAGGCUCGAAGGCGUGGGGAGCAAACAGGAUUAGAUACCCUAGUAA
rnacentral:rRNA from 1 species